rnacentral:piRNA from 1 species
GAUAUAUAUCAAUUUCAAGGCACGUGGA